rnacentral:rRNA from 1 species
GACGAACGCUGGCGGCGUGCUUAACACAUGCAAGUCGAACGAUGACGCCCGAGCUUGCUCGGUCUGAUUAGUGGCGAACGGGUGAGUAACACGUGAGCAACCUGCCCUUCACUCUGGGAUAACCUCGGGAAAUCGGGGCUAAUACCGGAUAUGAGCUCCUGUCGCAUGGCGGGUGUUGGAAAGUUUUUCGGGGAAGGAUGGGCUCGCGGCCUAUCAGUUUGUUGGUGAGGUAGUGGCUCACCAAGGCGAUGACGGGUAGCCGGCCUGAGAGGGCGACCGGCCACACUGGGACUGAGACACGGCCCAGACUCCUACGGGAGGCAGCAGUGGGGAAUAUUGCACAAUGGGCGAAAGCCUGAUGCAGCGACGCCGCGUGAGGGAUGACGGCCUUCGGGUUGUAAACCUCUUUCAGCAGGGAAGAAGCGAAAGUGACGGUACCUGCAGAAGAAGCGCCGGCUAACUACGUG